AUACGUAGGGGGCAAGCGUUAUCCGGAUUUACUGGGUGUAAAGGGAGCGUAGGCAGCAAGGCAAGUCUGAUGUGAAAACCCGGGGCUCAACCCCGGGACUGCAUUGGAAACUGCUUAGCUAGAGUGUCGGAGAGGUAAGUGGAAUUCCUAGUGUAGCGGUGAAAUGCGUAGAUAUUAGGAGGAACACCAGUGGCGAAGGCGACUUACUGGACGAUAACCGACGCUGAGGCUCGAAAGCGUGGGGAGC
rnacentral:rRNA from 1 species